rnacentral:rRNA from 1 species
GUAAGGAAUAUUGGUCAAUGGACGAAAGUCUGAACCAGCCAUGCCGCGUGGAGGAUGAAGGUCCUCUGGAUUGUAAACUUCUUUUAUAUGGGACGAAAAUGGGGCUUUCUAGCUCAACUGACGGUACCAUAUGAAUAAGCACCGGCUAACUCCGUGCCAGCAGCCGCGGUAAUACGGAGGGUGCAAGCGUUAUCCGGAUUCACUGGGUUUAAAGGGUGCGUAGGUGGAUUGGUAAGUCAGAGGUGAAAUCUCCGGGCUCAACUCGGAAACUGCCUUUGAUACUGUCAAUCUUGAAUAUUGUGGAGGUUAGCGGAAUAUGUCAUGUAGCGGUGAAAUGCUUAGAUAUGACAUAGAACACCAAUUGCGAAGGCAGCUGGCUACACAUAUAUUGACACUGAGGCACGAAAGCGUGGGGAUCAAACAGGAUUAGAAACCCUUGUAGUCC